GCGAUAACUUAGUCCGUAUUUUUAUAAUAAAUCAGAAUAAGAAAUCGAUCUAUAAUCAAUGAAAGCUCAUUUUAUGAGCAUUUUCAAUAUCUAAUUCAUGAUGGAUUUUCUAAAUCUGAUGGACAGCAAUUCUUUUCCAUACUAGCUCUUUAGUUCAUCUGUUUUCUCUUGUGAAUACCAAGACACUUGUUUCCUGGCAAGCUACCAAUGUUGUUUGUGUUGACCUAACAAUUUUUUUUUUUUUGUUUGCAGAAAUAUGGUACGCACCAUUGAAGGUAUCGAAUUAUGUUCCAAGCCAUCAUUUAUUUAUUUGGGUUCCAUUGUAUUCUGCACAGGUGAUGGAACCAAGCAUUAAGCUGCGGAGUGUUUGGAGUCAAUGCCUGGAUUUAAUGAAUGGGUGUGAAUGUAUCAUUUUCCUCUGCGACAAUGCCGGGAUGGGCACCCAUCACAGGUUGUCAAUCUUUUAUCUGCUACGAGUGGCGUAAAAAUUUAACGCUGCACGAAAUAUGGUUCUGUUAUCUGUUUUAUCUCAGCUCUCAUAUUACUGUUCGCACUUCCUGUGGUGAGCUAUGGUGCUCAGAAUUUUGGAGCAUAGAACUUUAUGGCUCCUAAAAUGAGUGGUGGAACCACCUUGCAAGUUAGGCUUAUGAUGUCAGUCGAAAUGAAAUUUCUUAUAUUGCUUC